rnacentral:tRNA from 1 species
AUUUUGGUGGCUGAAUGAUAGGCGAUAAAUUGUAAAUUUAUUUAUGACUAACUGUCCCUU